GGUAGAGCACAGUGAUAGAGCACUUGCCUAGCAUGCAAGGGCCCUGGGUUCAAUUCCCAGUACUG
rnacentral:tRNA from 1 species